rnacentral:rRNA from 1 species
GCCUACGGGGCGCAGCAGUCGAGAAUCAUUCACAAUGGGGGAAACCCUGAUGGUGCGACGCCGCGUGGGGGAAUGAAGGUCUUCGGAUUGUAAACCCCUGUCAUGUGGGAGCAAAUUAAAAAGAUAGUACCACAAGAGGAAGAGACGGCUAACUCUGUGCCAGCAGCCGCGGUAAUACAGAGGUCUCAAGCGUUGUUCGGAAUCACUGGGCGUAAAGCGUGCGUAGGCUGUUUCGUAAGUCGUGUGUGAAAGGCGCGGGCUCAACCCGCGGACGGCACAUGAUGCUGCGAGACUAGAGGAAUGGG